GGGGAUUUAGCUCAGUGGUAGAGCGUUUGCCUAGCAAGCACAAGGCCCUGGGUUCGCUCCCCAGCUCUG
rnacentral:tRNA from 1 species